CCUACGGGAGGCAGCAGUGGGGAAUAUUGCACAAUGGGGGAAACCCUGAUGCAGCGACGCCGCGUGGAGGAAGAAGGUCUUCGGAUUGUAAACUCCUGUUGUUGGGGAAGAUAAUGACGGUACCCAACAAGGAAGUGACGGCUAACUACGUGCCAGCAGC
rnacentral:rRNA from 1 species